rnacentral:rRNA from 1 species
GACGAACGCUGGCGGCGUGCCUAACACAUGCAAGUCGAACGAGGUCCAAUCGGUGGCAACACCGGUGAAGACCGAGUGGCGAACGGGUGAGUAGCACGUGAGCAACCUGCCCCGAAGACUGGGAUAACACCGGGAAACCGGUGCUAAUACCGGAUACCCUCACGAGACCGCAUGGUCAUGUGGGGAAAUGGAUUCCGCUUCGGGAGGGGCUCGCGGCCUAUCAGUUUGUUGGUGGGGUAACGGCCUACCAAGACGACGACGGGUAGCUGGUCUGAGAGGACGAUCAGCCACACUGGGACUGAGACACGGCCCAGACUCCUACGGGAGGCAGCAGUGGGGAAUCUUGCGCAAUGGGCGAAAGCCUGACGCAGCAACGCCGCGUGGGGGACGAAUGCUUUCUGAGUUGUAAACCUCUUUCGACAGGAACGAUUGUGACGGUACCUGUAGAAGUAAGCACCGGCCAACUAUGUGCCAGCAGCCGCGGUGAUACAUAGGGUGCGAGCGUUAUUCGGAUUUAUUGGGCGUAAAGAGCUCGUAGGCGGUUCGACAAGUCGGGUGUUAAACCCCCAGGCUCAACCUGGGGGCCGCCACCCGAAACUGUCGUGACUAGAGUUUGGUAGGGGAUCACGGAAUUCCUGGUGUAGCGGGUGGAAUGCGCAGAUAUCAGGAGGAACACCGGCGGCGAAGGCGGUGGUCUGGGCCAAUACUGACGCUGAGGAGCGAAAGCGUGGGGAGCGAACAGGAUUAGAUACCCUGGUAGUCCACGCCGUAAACGUUGGGCACUAGUGUGGGGACCUAUCGACGGUUUCUGUGCCGCAGCUAACGCAUUAAGUGCCCCGCCUGGGGGAGUACGGCCGCAAGGCUAAA